AUUGAACGCUGGCGGCAGGCCUAACACAUGCAAGUCGAACGAGUGGCGGACGGGUGAGUAAUGUCUGGGAAACUGCCUGAUGGAGGGGGAUAACUACGGGAAACGGUAGCUAAUACCGCAUACCAUCGGAUGUGCCCAGAUGGGAUUAGCUAGUAGGUAGGGUAAAGUCUAACCUAGGCGACGAUCCCUAGCUGGUCGUCGAGGAUGACCAGCCAACCUGGAACUGAGACACGGUCCAGACUCCGACGGGUGGCAGCAGUGGGGAAUAUUGCAAAAUGGGCGCAAGCCUGAUGCAGCCAUGCCGCGUGUAUGAAGAAGGCCUUCGGGUUGUAAAGUACUUUCAGCGGGGAGGCGUUACCCGCAGAAGAAGCACCGGCUAACUCCGUGCCAGCCGCCGCGGUAAUAC
rnacentral:rRNA from 1 species